CGGCUCCCAGCAUGCCCCCGGGGUGGCCAGGGGGGUGGGAGGGGACUGCAAAUCCCAGCAUGCCUUGGGGGAAACAAAAUGGCUGACCAGAUUGAAAACUACAAAUCCCAGCAUGCUCUGGGGGAGCCAAGAUGGCUGGUCAUCUGUAGACUACAAAUCCCAGCAUGCCUUGGGGGAAAAACAAAAUGGCUGACUGGAUUUAAAACUACAAUCCCAGCAGGCUUUGGGGUAGCCAAGAUGGCUGACCAUCUGUGGACUUUAAGUCCCAGCAUGCUUUGGAGAAAAACAAAAUGGCUGACCAGAUUUAAAACUACAAAUCCCAGCAUGCUUUGGGGAAGCCAAGAUGGCUGAUCAUCUGUAGACUACAAAUCCCAGCAUGCUUUAGGGGAAAACAAAAUGGCUGACCAGAUUUAAAACUACAAAUCCCAGCAUGCUUUGGGGAAGCCAAGAUGGCUGAUCAUCUGUAGACUACAAAUCCCAGCAUGCUUUAGGGGAAAACAAAAUGGCUGACCAGAUUUAAAACUACAAAUCCCAGCAGGCUUUGGGGGAGCCAAGAUGGCUGAUCAUCUGUAGACUACAAAUCCCAGCAUGCUUUAGGGGAAAACAAAAUGGCUGACCAGAUUUAAAACUACAAAUCCCAGCAGGCUUUGGGGGAGCCAAGAUGGCUGAUCAUCUGUAGACUACAAAUCCCAGCAUGCUUUGGAGGGAGAAACAAAAUGGCUGACCAGAUUUAAAACUACAAAUCCCAGCAGGCUUUGUGGGAGCCAAGAUGGCUGGUCAUCUGUGGACUACAAAUCCCAGCAUGCUUUGGAGGGAAAAGCAAAAUGGCUGACCAGAUUGAAAACUACAAGUCCCAGCAUGCCUUGCAGGCGCUAACAUGGCUGUUGUGGGUGGGAACUACAAAUCCCAGCAUGCUUUGGGAGUUACUGUAUCCCAGAAUGCCCCUCCCUGCCCCAAAAUGGCGCCCCCCACGGUGGCGGCCAUGUUGUGGGCGUGGUUCCCCCCCCAGUGCUGGUGCAGUGCCCGGAGCCGGCUCGUGAUUGGCUGGAGCCGCUCGUCCCCGCCUUCCAGACGCUCUCAAGGGCGGGGCCUGUGCAGCUCCUCCCCCCGGGGGCGGAGCCAGGGCCGGGCUGGGCGGGGGCUCCCGCAGCUUCCGGAACCUUCGUGCACCUGCAGAUCCAGGGCCGAGCGGAGCCUGGAGGGGCUGGAGACCCCCGGAGACCCCCAGGGACCCCCCCAGGGACCCCCCCAGGGACCCCCAGCCCGGGGGGGGCGGGGCUUUUAAAUGAAUGAAUUAAAAAUUAUUUAUGAGAUAAAUAAAGUGAAUAAAAUGAAACGGAGGGGUCUGGGUGGGUUAGUAAUUCAAAUGAAAUUUAUUUUAUUUAAAUAAAAUAAAAUAAAUGAAGUAAAUAAAGUAAAA